rnacentral:lncRNA from 1 species
AACUAUUGAUUCUAGGAUGAAAUGGAGGUGUUAGAAAUCAGAGAUUCAAACAAGCCUUUGUGAAAAUAAGAUGCUUAAGAGGACUUGAACCCAUGUCCUUUGACUAUGGCACUAGGUUACUUUCCACUAUUCCACAUCAGCUCUUUCCAUUUCUCUAUCUCUCCCUCUAUCAUCCAUCUCUUUCUUCUUGCAGCUCAACACUGACUAUUCCGCUU